GGCCUAACACAUGCAAGUCGAACGGUAACAGGAAGCAGCUUGCUGCUUCGCUGACGAGUGGCGGACGGGUGAGUAAUGUCUGGGAAACUGCCUGAUGGAGGGGGAUAACUACUGGAAACGGUAGCUAAUACCGCAUAACGUCGCAAGACCAAAGAGGGGGACCUUCGGGCCUCUUGCCAUCGGAUGUGCCCAGAUGGGAUUAGCUAGUAGGUGGGGUAACGGCUCACCUAGGCGACGAUCCCUAGCUGGUCUGAGAGGAUGACCAGCCACACUGGAACUGAGACACGGUCCAGACUCCUACGGGAGGCAGCAGUGGGGAAUAUUGCACAAUGGGCGCAAGCCUGAUGCAGCCAUGCCGCGUGUAUGAAGAAGGCCUUCGGGUUGUAAAGUACUUUCAGCGGGGAGGAAGGGAGUAAAGUUAAUACCUUUGCUCAUUGACGUUACCCGCAGAAGAAGCACCGGCUAACUCCGUGCCAGCAGCCGCGGUAAUACGGAGGGUGCAAGCGUUAAUCGGAAUUACUG
rnacentral:rRNA from 1 species